UCUUUCCUUGACAUGGGGUGAAAGAGCUGUUCAAUGAACGCAGAGUGAGAGCAGCCCUGCUAACACCAUCCCAACACGUAUGCGUCACCUCGACUCCUAUCUAGAGCAUGGUGCAGUUUUUAGAACA